CGUGACGAAUCAGCGGUACUAACCACCCAAAACCGGAUCGAUCACUCCCCUUCGGGGGUGUGGAGUUCUGGGGCUGCGUGGGAACUUCGCUGGUAGUAGUCAAGCGAAGGGGUGACGCAGGAAGGUAGCCGUACCAGUCAGUGGUAACACUGGGGCAAGCCGGUAGGGAGAGCGAUAGGCAAAUCCGUCGCUCACUAAUCCUGAGAGGUGACGCAUAGCCGGUUGAGGCGAAUUCGGUGAUCCUCUGCUGCCAAGAAAAGCCUCUAGCGAGCACACACACGGCCCGUACCCCAAACCGACACAGGUGGUCAGGUAGAGCAUACCAAGGCGUACGAGAUAACUAUGGUUAAGGAACUCGGCAAAAUGCCCCCGUAACUUCGGGAGAAGGGGGACCGGAAUAUCGUGAACACCCUUGCGGUGGGAGCGGGAUCCGGUCGCAGAAACCAGUGAGGAGCGACUGUUUACUAAAAACACAGGUCCGUGCGAAGUCGCAAGACGAUGUAUACGGACUGACGCCUGCCCGGUGCUGGAAGGUUAAGAGGACCCGUUAACCCGCAAGGGUGAAGCGGAGAAUUUAAGCCCCAGUAAACGGCGGUGGUAACUAUAACCAUCCUAAGGUAGCGAAAUUCCUUGUCGGGUAAGUUCCGACCUGCACGAAUGGCGUAACGACUUCUCAACUGUCUCAACCAUAGACUCGGCGAAAUUGCACUACGAGUAAAGAUGCUCGUUACGCGCGGCAGGACGAAAAGACCCCGGGACCUUCACUACAACUUGGUAUUGAUGUUCGGUACGGUUUGUGUAGGAUAGGUGGGAGACUGUGAAACCUCGACGCCAGUUGGGGCGGAGUCGUUGUUGAAAUACCACUCUGAUCGUAUUGGGCAUCUAACCUCGAACCCUGAAUCGGGUUUAGGGACAGUGCCUGGCGGGUAGUUUAACUGGGGCGGUUGCCUCCUAAAAUGUAACGGAGGCGCCCAAAGGUUCCCUCAACCUGGACGGCAAUCAGGUGGCGAGUGUAAAUGCACAAGGGAGCUUGACUGCGAGACUUACAAGUCAAGCAGGGACGAAAGUCGGGAUUAGUGAUCCGGCACCCCCGAGUGGAAGGGGUGUCGCUCAACGGAUAAAAGGUACCCCGGGGAUAACAGGCUGAUCUUCCCCAAGAGUCCAUAUCGACGGGAUGGUUUGGCACCUCGAUGUCGGCUCGUCGCAUCCUGGGGCUGGAGCAGGUCCCAAGGGUUGGGCUGUUCGCCCAUUAAAGCGGCACGCGAGCUGGGUUUAGAACGUCGUGAGACAGUUCGGUCUCUAUCCGCCGCGCGCGUCAGAAACUUGAGGAAACCUGUCCCUAGUACGAGAGGACCGGGACGGACGAACCUCUGGUGCACCAGUUGUCCCGCCAGGGGCACCGCUGGAUAGCCACGUUCGGUCAGGAUAACCGCUGAAAGCAUCUAAGCGGGAAACCUUCUCCAAGAUCAGGUUUCUCACCCACUUGGUGGGAUAAGGCCCCCCGCAGAACACGGGUUCAAUAGGUCAGACCUGGAAGCUCAGUAAUGGGUGUAGGGAACUGGUGCUAACCGGCCGAAAACUUACAACA
rnacentral:rRNA from 1 species